GCCUUGAUGGUGUAGUGGUAGCACGCGUCCGCGGUAUGGAUGGAACGCAGGUUCAACUUCCUUCUGAGGCCG